ACACACUCUGAUGGUUCCCACUUGAAAUUGCUCAUCAAGUGCAAAUAGCUCCCAGCCUGGAUGGCUGAGCUGCUCUCCAGCCUCCUCUCUCUGGAGUAAGAAGAUUUCAGCUUGUGACCUGCCCUCGGGACUUGUGGGUGUACAAAGCCUGUGACCCAGGAAACAAAGUCAACGGCUCACUUUGUCCCCACCCCACCCUACCCCGUCUCCCUCCUACUAAAUGCUGAAUCUCACGAGAGAAGAAAACCAGCCACAUAAAGGAUUUGAAAGCUCAACUUGCUUUCCCACUCUGUUAUCCCUGGAGUUGGCUUGGAUUCACCCUGAAGCCUUCCCCCUCCCGGGGAAAGUUGCUUCACGUUGCAGCUCAGCAGGUUUGUCCAGCUACAUAGGCUCCAGAAAACAAGAAGCAAGACUGGAAAGCUGGGGAUGAUUGUACGCCCUCGCCUGAAUCUUACGUGGUUCCUCCUUCUUCCACCUGGCCAGUGCAGAGCCGUGGGUGCCACGUGGCCACUUCUGGAUUGGGUUCCCCUUGGCCUGCCACCCUGUCCUUCUGCUUUCCCACUUUGCCAGCCAGAGUCAAUUUGAGGACGCCAAGUUCUCCUCUCCAUACAGAGCUCCUGGUCUCCUUGUAACUUGUAACUCCUGGGCACAGUUACAAGUGCUGAAUUCUUGCGAGGAUGAACUCAAGAUACAAAAUAUGCUUGGCAACUCACCCCUGAGUGGCCACAGGCACACGCAGGAGUCGAACCCACCCACCUCUGCUGACAGUCAUGGGUCAAGCUCAAAGUCCUGGCUGCUUCUCUGCUCAAGAUAGUGUCUCACUAUGUUGCCCAGGUUGGAUUCGAACUCCUGUGCUCAAAUGAUCUUCCCCUACCUCCAGGAUCUGUGCCCGCAGAGAGAGCCUGCUCCAGCCUCUUUGCUACAGCCUUGAGUCUUCUGCUAAGAAAAGACACAGAGGCAAAGAGAAACACAUAGAGAGGAGAAUGCCUCGUGAAAAUGGAGACCGAGAUUGGUGCAAUGUGUCCACAAGCCAGGGAAUGCCAACGUGGCCAGCAACCACCAGAAGCUGGGAGAGAGGCAUGGAACAGAGUCCUCGGAGCCUCCAGAAGGAACCAACCCUGUUGAUACCUUGACUGAAAACUUCCAGCCUCCAGAACUGUGACAGAAUUAAUUUCUGUUAUUUAAAGCCAUUCAGUCUGUGGUAAUUUGUUACAUCAGCCCUGAAUAGCAAAUACAGAUGACCCAGGUUUAAAUCCUAGUUCUGCCACUUAUGAGCGUGGGUACAUAACUACUUUCUAGAGCCCCGGUUUCCUCAUCUGUAAAAAACCUCAUACGGUUAUUAAGAAGAUCAAAUGAGAUACAAACAUAAAUUCUUAACAGUGCUGGCAUGUUAAUUGUUCAAUAAAUAUGAGUUAUUUACAACAAUUGUGAUAGUAAUGAGUAACACAGAGAAAUGAGAAUUGACUUAACAGAGGCUGGCUCGGCAAGCCUCUAUGCCAACAAAAUUUAUUUGGAAAUCAAAAGUAUUUACUUCAGACUGGGCGCAGUGGCUCACACCUGUAAUCCCUGCACUUGAGGUCAGGAGUUGGAAACCAGCCUGGCCAACAUGGUGAAACCUCAUCUUUACUAAGGGAGGAGACCACCCCUCAUAUUGUCUGCAUAUGCCCAGUUUCUGCCUCCAAAGAAAGAAGAAGUAAAAACUAAAAGGCAGAAAUGAAGUCCACAGGCAGACAGCCCGGUGCCACACCCUGGGCUUGGUAGUUAAAGAUCGACCCCUGACCUAAUCAGUUAUGUUAUCUAUAGAUUACAGGCAUUGUAUAGAAAAGCACUGUGAAAAUCCCUGUCCUGUUCUGUUCUGUUAUAAUUACUGGUGUAUGCAGCCCCCAGUCACGUACCCUCUACUUGCUCAAUCGAUCACGACCCUCUCACGCAGACCCCCUUAGAGUUGUGAGCCCUUAAAAGGGACAGGAAUUGCUCACUCGGGGAGCUCGGUUUUUGGAGACGUGAGUCUUGCCGAAGCUCCCGGCUGAAUAAAGCCCUUCCUUCUUUAACUCGGUGUCUGAGGGGUUUUGUCUGCGGCUUGUCCUGCUACACUACUAAAAACACAAAAAAUUAGCUGGGUAUGGUGGCAGGCACCUGUAAUCCCAGCUACUUGGGAGGCUGAGGCAGGAGAAUUGCUUGAACCCGGGAGGCUGAGGUUGCAGUGAACCCAGAUCUUGCCACUACACUCCAGCCUGGGUGAUGGAGCGAGACUCCACCUCCAAAAAAAAAAAGGAAGAAAGAAAAAAAGAAUUUACUUCAAGGAAAAUUUACUUUCCCAUUCUCGUUAUGGAAAAAAGUGUAGGGGAAAUAUGUGUUAUUUGAGUUAGCAUCACUGAAAUGGAUAUGAAAGUUGGAUGAUUUCUCAGGCUCUGAGAAGUUUAGAGAAAUUGACAAGCUCAUCAGCCUCCCCCUUUCUCUUGAUAAAAGAAAAACUUCAGCCGAAUUAAAUUUAAAGGAGUUUAAUUGAGCAAUGAACAAUUUGUCAAUCAGGCAGCCUUCCCAGCCAGAGUAGGCUCAGAGUCUCCAGUGCAACCACGUGGUGGAAGAUGAUUUAUGGACAGGAAAAGGAAAGUGACGUACAGAAAAUGGAAGUGAGGUACAGAAGCAGCUGGACUGCAUUAUUUGAACAUGGUUCGAACAGUUGGUUACAUUUGAUUGGCCAAAACUUGAUGAUUGUCACAAAUGUAGGCUAUAGUCUUUUUACACCUCCACUUGUUAUAGUUCAUGAUGUACAGAAAAACCUUUAGGUCAAACUUAAAAUAUUUAGGAGGCAGCUUUAGGCUCAACUUGAUUUAACACUCUGACAUAACCUACCCAUAAGCUCACUCAGGCUGUUACACUUAGAAGGGAGCCCCAUUCUUACAUUCUAAGGGUGUUCUUUCUGCCCAGUGGCAUGGGGAAGGAACGCACCUCAGCUGCACAGGUUCAAGCUGCCGGGGAGCUCUAUGCAAAUUCGAGACCCUGCUGGGAUACUCACAAAGCCAGAAUUGCUUGCUGCAGGACUAAAGAGGGAGUGUAUUUGAUUUUUUUUUUUUUUUUUUUUUGGUGAUAAAUGGGAAAAAACAAUGCAUUUUUUUCAAAAAGCAGUCCAAUACCCUGAUGUACUAUAAAAUGGAGUUUAAUCCAUAGGAGAGUGGGAGGCACCAGGAAUGGACUGGGUGGGGUAGCAAUAGCUGUUGUCUAUCAUCUGUGGUUAGAUUAGCUGUUAUCUCUAUCAACACUUUCACUGUCAUCACCAGCAUUAACAUGCCCACCUCUUACAGGGGCUGUGUUGGACCGGUUAAAUGUGCAUGCUUCUUGGUGCUUGCAACAAUUUACAGAGAUGAAUUCACAGGUCUGUCUAGGCUGAGUUUGUAUUCUUAGUGCAGACAGCCCUCCACAUCCUCAGAUGUUGCAUCUGAGGAUUCAACCAACCACAAAUCAAAAACAUUUGGAAAACACAGCAAUAAAAAAUAACAAUACAACAAUAGGACCUAAAAUUUUAAAAAUAAUACAGUCUAACAACAAUUUACAUAGCAUUUAUAUUCUAUUUGGUAUAGGCAUUUUUGAGAGCAAGUUGAGUCCACCACAAAGCCAGGAGGCUGAGCCCCUUAAGCCCUGGUCUUCUGGUGACCCAUCAAAUUCUGCUUACCCAGCACUCUGCUGCCUCCUCCAUGUGGGCCCAUUGCCUGUACUGAACUCUCCAGGAUUCUCCAGACCAACAUUCUCUACCUCAUCAUUUAGCACGAUAUUGGAUAUUGUGUGUUGAAUUGCUUGCCAACUGUUCCACAGAGAUCAGCCUCAUCCACCUGUAUUCUUUUUCCUUUCAUUGCUCUCAGGAUAAAACACAAACUCCUUACUAUGCCCACCAGGCCCUAUCCUCUCACUCCAGCUCCCUCUGGCCACGGCACCCCUUGCCCUGCAUUCCAGCCACAUGGCCAUCUUUUAGUUCCAUUUGGCCUUUCUUACUCAAACUUUAUCUCUUAGUUUAAAGGUUAUUUGUUUCGAGAAGCAUUCCCUGAAUCCCUCUGGUAGGAUGUCUGCCUAUUCCUUCUUGAAACAAUAGUGGUAAAAAACACAUAACAUAAAAUUUACCGUCUUAACUAUUUUUAUUUAUUUAUUUAUUUUUGAGACAGAGUCUCACUCUGUCGCCCAGGCUGGAGUGCAGUGGUGCGAUCUUGGCUUACUGCAACCUCCACCUCCCAGGUUCAAGCGAUUCUCCUGCCUCAGCCUCCCAAGUAGCUGGGAUUGCAGGCUCGUGCCACCACUCCCAGCUAUUUUGUAUUUUUUGUAUUUUAGUAGAGACAGGGUUUCACCAUGUUGGCCAGGCUGGUCUCCAACUCCUGACCUUAAGUGAUCCACCCGCCUCGGCCUCCCAAAGUGCUGGAAUUACAGGCGUGAGCCACCAAGCCCAGCCUAACUUUUUUUAAAUGUAUAGUUCAGUAGUGUUAAGUACAUUCACAUUGCUAUACAACCAAUCUCCACCACUCUUUUCAUCUUGGAAAACUGAAACUCUAUACCACUAAACAACAAAUCUCCAUUCACCCUCUCCCCAGCCCCUGGCAAUCACCAUUCUACUUUCUGGAACUUGACUAUUCUAAUUACCUCUUAUAAGUAGAAUCAUACCAUAGUUGCCUUUUUGUGGCUGGAUUAUUUUAUUUAGCAUAAUGUCCUGAAGAUUCACCCAUGUCGUAGCAUGUAUCAGAAUUUACUUCCUUUUUAAGGCUGAAUAAUAUUCCAUUGUAUGUAUAGACCACAUGUUGUUUAUCCAUUCAUCUGUCAGUGGACACUUGGGUUGCUCCCACCUUUUGGCUGUUGUGAAAAAUGCUGUUGAACAUGGAUGUACAGCUGGGUGCGGUGGCUCACAUCUGUAAUCCCAGCACUUUGGGAAGCUGAGGCAGGCGGAUCACCUCAGGUCAGGAGUUCAAGACCAGCUGGGCCAACAUAGCAAAACCCUAUCUCGACUAAAAAUACAAAAAUUAGCGGGACAUGGUGGUAUGUGCCUGUAAUCCCAGCUACUCGGGGGGCUGAGGCAGGAGAAUCACUUGAACCCAGGAGGUAGAGGUUGCAGUGAGCCAAGAUUGUGCCGUUGCACUCCAGCCCGGGCGUGAGACCGUGUCUCAAAACAAAAAAAAAAAAGAAGAAGAAAAAAAAAAGAACAUGGGUGUACAGAUAUCUCUUUGAGACACUGCUUUUCAUUCUUUUGGGUAUAAGAGGUGAGCCCUUUGGGAGGUGGUUAGGCUAUGAGGACUCUGCUUUCAUGGAUAGGAUUAGUACCUUUAUAAAAGGGCUUGAGGGACCAAGUUCAUCCCUUUUGUUCUUCCGUCUUUUCUGCCAUGUGUGGACACAGCAUUUGUUCCAUUUCCGCUUCUGCUUUGUGAGGAUGCAGCAGCAAGCAGCCAUCUUGGAAGCAUAGAGUGUGCCUUCAUCAAAUCUGCUGGUGCUGUGAUCUUGAACCUCCCAGCCACCAGAUCUGUAAGAAAUACAUUUCUGUUGUUUAUAAAUUACCCAGUUUAGGUAUUUUGUUAUAGCAGCAGGAUCAGAUUAAGAUAGAGGAUAUUUUAUUGCAGUUAAGUCCCAGGCACAGAUAGCUUUUUUCUUUUUCUUUUUUUUUUUCUCCAGACAGAGUCUUGCUGUGUCAUCCAGGCUGGAGUGCAAUGGCGUGAUCUCAGCUCACUGCAACUUCUGCCUCCUGGGUGCAAGCGAUUCUCCUGCCUCAGCCUCCUGAGUAGCUGGGAUUACAGGCACAUGCCAGCAUGUCCAGAUAAUUUUUUUCUUUUCUUUCUUUUUUUUUUUUUUUUUCUGAGAUGGAGUUUCACUCUUGUUGCCCAGGCUGGAGUACAAUGGUGUGAUCUCAGCUCUCCGCAACCUCCGCCUCCUGGGUUCAAGCGAUUUGCCUGCCUCAGCCUCCCAAGUAGCUGGGAUUACAGGCAUGCGCCACCACGUCCGGCCAAUUUUGUAUUUUUAGUAGAGAAGGGGUUUCUCCAUGUUGGUCAGGCUGGUCUGGAACUCCUGACCUCAGGUGAUCCGCCAGCCUUGGCCUCCCAAAGUGCUGGGAUUACAGGUGUGAGCCACUGCGCCUGGCCUAAUUUUUUGUAUUUUUAGUAGAGACAGGGUUUCACCAUGUUGGCCAGGCUGGUCUUGAACUCAGGACCUCGUGAUCCACCCACCUUGACUUCCCAAAGUGCUGGCAUUACAGGCGUGAGCCACUGUGUCCGGCUCACAGAUAGCUUUUUAAUCAGUGAUGUACACUUGGUCAAUGUUAGCCUCCUGGACCAUGUAUCAAAAUUUUUUUUCUUUUUUGAGUCAAGAGUUUCACUCUCUAGCCAGGCUGGAGUGCAGUGGCCUGAUCUCGGCUCACUGCAACUCUGCCUCCCGGAUUCAAGCGAUUCUCCUGCCUCAGCCUCCUGAGUAGCUGGGACCACAGGCAUGUGCCACCAUGCCCGGCUAAUGUUUUGUAUUUUAGUAGAGAUGGGGUUUCACCAUGUUGGCCAAGAUGGUCUCGAUCUCCUGACCUCGUGAUCUGCCUGCCUCGGCCUCCCAAAGUGCUGGGAUUACAGGUAUGAGCCACCGCGCCCGGCCAAUGUAUCUAAAUAUUU
rnacentral:lncRNA from 1 species